UACGUAGGUGGCAAGCGUUGUCCGGAUUUACUGGGCGUAAAGGAUGCGUAGGCGGACAUUUAAGUCAGAUGUGAAAUACCCGAGCUUAACUUGGGUGCUGCAUUUGAAACUGGGUGUCUAGAGUGCAGGAGAGGUAAGUGGAAUUCCCGGAGUAGCGGUAAAAUGCGUAGAUCUCGGGAGGAACACCGAUAGCGAAGGCAGCUUCUUGGCCCAUUCCUGACAUUGAGGCACGAAAGCGUGGGGAGCAAACAGG
rnacentral:rRNA from 1 species